GGCUUUAGAAAAGAAAAAAUAUUUAAGAUGCCUGCAGGCUACCUCGACCUUGAACAAGGAGGUGGUGAUACUAGAGCGUCUCAUCCUUCAGUGAGUCCUGCCGAAGCUGCACAAAUCUGUUGUGAGAAUUCACAGACCUCUGCGCCUUCCCUUGGACCACAACAUCCAAGAUCCCUUAAAGUCCGUAAGUUGGCUUAGUUGCUAAGAUAAAGGGCAGAAACCUGACCUUCAGGGAGAGAAAGAGCUUAAAAAGUUUCAAGAAAUACUUGUAGGCAAAUCAUCUGAAGCCACCCAUCUUACAGUAAUACACCACUAAACCACGAUAUUCUGCUCUAGGUUUCAUGUCCAUCUCAUAACGUAAAAUGUAUUUAGUCCAUCUCUAAGAGUCAUCAAAGUUUUAACAGUUUCAGCAGCGCUGACAAGCCCAUGUCCAGUCUUUUUUGAGACUCAGGGUAAGCUCUUAGAAGUAAACGCAUCUAAAAAUAAAAAAGAAAGUUAAAUACUUUGAAUAUACAUUGUCAUUGUGCAAGUAUUUCUGUUCAAAAAGGGAUAAAUGGGGGAUAGAAGAG
rnacentral:lncRNA from 1 species